GCACCCGCCUGUACUUCCCCUGAGAUCAGCUGUUAGCAUCUGCUAGGAAUCAAGCCUCAGCUCACCUCACCAGAGAGAAAACUGUACUAACACUUGACUACUGACUACUGAAUUUGAAUCAAAUCUCUUGCUGAAUCAAAUGUGAUGAGAAAGACAGGCAGGGCGGCACAAACAUAAAUGGGUCAAAGACAUUUACAUUUACUCCGCAUCAAAAUAAAUUUUACAAAAGUGAUUUUAUAUACAUAGAAAGCACAUUAAAUGCAAAUAAAGUGUCUACUUUUAAACUUUCAAAUAAGUUUUGGAAGAAUAAAAUGUCAAAAGGUGGGUGAAAUAAUGUUCCAUUGUGUAAUGUUCUGAACUGUACGCAUUAAAAAUAUAUAAAAGAAUUAAGUGAACAUACUAAAUUCAACUGCGUUUUAAAGGAGUAAACAACGGCCAAAACAGUGGCAAAGUUUAAAAAUGUAAAAUUACAAGUAUUAUUUGGGGUAAACUAAUAGUCUUUUAAUAUCUCUCAUACUGAUUCUUGUGGUAAAUAUGCCUGACAAGAUUGUUACACUGAAUGACAUUUUAGUGGCUGUUUUCUGUAAAUCAUGGUAAAAAAAGUAUAUUUAUUUUUUGCUCAGAAAAAAAUAAAAAGAAUUAAACAGGACACUUUCUAAUGUACUGAAAAACAACAACAACGAUUCAAAGCUGUAUGACACUCAUUGUUUUGAUGCUUGACGAUGCUUUUCGUCUUUGACCCAAAUACAGCUCCUGGGGCCAGCAGUGCAGUCCAUCUGACCAGUGAAGGACUGGUGUGAGCAGAUUCUUUUUAAUCCAUCUUAAAAGCCAAAAAACAAGCUUUGAACUCAUGAUGAAUUCAUCUGAAUCGAUCUAAGGACUCAAUCUGUCAUUCUUGACUUACUUCCAUCAUCAUCUAUGAUGGCUUUAGGGUUUCAGUCCUGAAGCUUUAUUUUUUGGGCAGCAGAUGUUCUCCAUGCAGCGUGGGGCCGCACACAUCCAGGAGAAACAUCUCCUCAAAACAAACUUCGAUUGAUGGAUCGGCAGUAAUGGGGUCUCUGAUAUUCUCACGCCACUUUCCCAGCAGCGCAGAUGCAAAACUCAAUUCAUUUACAUGCUGUUUUUAACUAUACCACUUACCACAGAGCAGCAUUACAAAGCAGAUUUGGGCUGAAAUCCCUUUUGGGAACAAAAACAAGGCAACGACGGCAGAGAAAAACUCCCCGAAAGUAAGAAAGAAAGCUCAGGAGGAAGCAGGGCUCCAAGGGAAAGCCGCUGCCCUGCGUUUGGCAAGAAACAUCAUUAUGUCAUUGGAAAACACGAAGCAUUCUAGCUGUAAUGCGUUUCGCAACUACAGCAUGUGGAGCUGAUUUAAGGUACUUAAAUACACCUCAUCAAGGUUUGGCUCAGGUAUAAGCUACUUAUGUCACAGACGGGAACAGAGCGACCUCUUUACUCAACCUCCGCCUCUCUCCGCUCACGGCUGAGGCGACAGAUGUGAAAACUGCAUCUCCAAAAAUCCACAUUCCUCUUUCCUCGGACCUGAUGUCCUUGCCAAAUGUCCUCCGUCUCGGCACAAAGACAGUUCUCUAUCGUGCCAAUUUCCAAACCCAGUGGAAAUGCUUUUGCUGACUCAGCAGAACAAGGGAUGUGCCAGAUAAAACACUGCAGCAGGUUAUUCUGCCCCGCAGGAUGGAUGUGUCUCUGGAACUAAACUGUUUUAUUAGUUCAUGUUCUCUAUAUCUUAUACUGCUUUACCAACCCCUCACCAUUAACCACCUCAAAUCUGAGGGAAACGUCACAUCCUGAAAGAUGCUGUUCAAGCCCUUAAGUCCAUCCCUAAAAUCUGACAAACAGAAAUGUUUUUCCAGGACUAAGAAGGAGUUAGAAGCCACCGUGCAGGUUUCUCUUUGUGAGGUUUGGUCAGCAGUGACUGAAACGCAGCUUUACACACGACUGCAGUCUGCAUGGAGAGGAUCUUCAGACUCCAGGAGCUUCAAACACCUGGUUGCUGCUCAGCAGUGGCUUUUUUUCAGCUGCUAUUACAAUACAGUUCAUUUGUUUGACAAAAACUUUCCUUAAUAAAUCUUUAUCUGACCAAGA